UACGUAGGUGGCAAGCGUUGUCCGGAUUUAUUGGGCGUACAGGGCGCGCAGGCGGUUCGUUAGGUUCGAGGUGAAAUCUCUUGGCUCAACUGGGAGAGGUCUUCGGAUACCGGCGGACUUGAGGAGAGCAGAGGUGAGUGGAAUUCUGGGUGUGGUGGUGAAAUGCGUAGAUAUCCAGAGGAACACCAGUGGCGAAGGCGACUCACUGGGCUCCACCUGACGCUGAGGCGCGAAAGCGUGGGGAGCGAACCGG
rnacentral:rRNA from 1 species